rnacentral:rRNA from 1 species
AUUGAACGCUGGCGGCAGGCCUAACACAUGCAAGUCGAACGGUAACAGGAUGCAGCUUGCUGCUUUGCUGACGAGUGGCGGACGGGUGUGUAAUGUCUGGGAAACUGCCUGAUGGAGGGGGAUAACUACUGGAAACGGUAGCUAAUACCGCAUAACGUCGCAAGACCAAAGAGGGGGACAUUCGGGCCUCUUGCCAUCGGAUGUGCCCAGAUGGGAUUAGCUAGUAGGUGGGGUAACGGCUCACCUAGGCGACGAUCCCUAGCUGGUCUGAGAGGAUGACCAGCCACACUGGAACUGAGACACGGUCCAGACUCCUACGGGAGGCAGCAGUGGGGAAUAUUGCACAAUGGGCGCAAGCCUGAUGCAGCCAUGCCGCGUGUAUGAAGAAGGCCUUCGGGUUGUAAAGUACUUUCAGCGGGGAGGAAGGGAGUAAAGUUAAUACCUCUGCUUAUUGACGUUACCCGCAGAAGAAGCACCGGCUAACUCCGUG